UUUUUUUUUUUUCUGUUCAUUACAGAUUUAAUGCUUCUGUUGAUGAUUUAAUCUUUUGAGACAUAAGUGUGUCAUUCAUGGAAGAUGACAUUUCAAUAUUUACAUGGUAUGUUUUCCUCUGUUGAAGGUGUAUACAUGUGAAAGUGAAUCAGUGCUUGCUCAGUUUGUUCCAUUUUCUACUCCAAAGUUCAAGUUUUACCAACAUAUGGAAAUUCCAAAUGUUCUAUAUGCACACUUGGUAGAGGAAUUGACUGUUUUGAAAGUAAAGGUGCGAAUUCAUUGGUGAAAUCUUUUGCUAUGUAGCCAGUUUAAUGUGAGAAAUUUCCUCUAUUCUACGAGUGACUUUUUACUAGUUACUAAAUUUGGAUUUUAUUUUGGCUGCUGUAUCCAUAGUUAAUACAACUUGCACUUAGCAUUACAAUUUUGUAUCCAUAGUACUAAUUUAGUACUUGGGAUGCAAAGAGGAGUGAAAAUAGUGUUCUCAUGGAUUAUUAUCUAUCCUACUGGGUGUUAGUUGAAAUUUGAAGGUGUGAAUGUGAUUCUUUUGUUCAUACUUCAAUAUGCAUUUUUCGUUUCCUAGUAGGAUACUGAGUAUUGACAAUUGAUGCCCUGAUUUUUAGCAUGAAUGUUCGUUGGAUAAUUUGGAUCUUGAAGCUUCUGCAGCAGAAUCUACAAGAAAGAAACUAUCAAAGAUACAUUCAGCUUUAAUACAUUGUCUACAUGAGCUUGGUGUUUGGUUGGCUUUAAAGGUACCUUUUUAGCCAAAUAUUUUUGCCAAAGUGCAAUAUAUGUAUAUCAUCAAGUCUGUUCAUUUGUAAUAGGCUGCAGAGUGCUUUUCAUGUUAUGAAAGUGAGCAUCUUAUGUGGGGGAAAUUGGAUGUCUUUGGCGAGAAAAUUAUUAGGAGCUACAGUGUGGAUGCUUUUCAUGCAAUUGAAACAUGCAUGCCAUCUGGUACUUGUAUUUUCCUCUAAGGUUGAGUUAAUAAUAUGUUGUGUUUAUCAUUUUUCUUAAAUAUCUUCCGUUUUUAUGUUCCCCCAAAUAGGUCUGGAUUGGACCAUAGCUAAUGAUGUUAAAGGCAGUGUGGCUGCUGGGUUUCUUACCACAAAAGUUUUAUGCCUUAUUGAAUCUCUAUUUGAAUACAGGUAGCAUGGUUAUUACUGAUAAUAGUUUUAUGCGGUGUUCUAUCAGUUUACCAAGUGCUAAUAUAGUAUUGCCUCCUUUGAAAGUUAUCUUUCUGCUUUCCGAUUAUUUAAAGUUUAUUUUGGGACGAUAGUCAGCUUCAUUAAUAUAUUUAAUACAAGAAAGAUUAAAGAAUGGUUUGAUGUGUUUUUUUCACUCUGGUUGUUAAGCAUAAAUAACUAUAGGCAAUGAGGCCAUCAAUACAGAUGUAUAGAGGAUUUUAAGGAAUGAAUUUGACAAAAUUGAUCCACAAACCUCUUCAUUCCAUCUCCCUUAUUUUUGCUUUUCAUCAUUUGUGACAUUUUGUUAUGUGCAAUAAUGCAGGGUGUUGAAGGACAUAAGAUGUAUAAUUUUUGUUGAGAGGGUUAUAACAGCUGUUGUGCUUCAAUCGCUAUUUAGUGAAUUACUUCCCAGGUACAGUAAUUGGAAGACUAAUUACAUUGCGGGAAAUAACUCUGGAUUGCAGAAUCAGACAAGGAAAAAACAAAACGAAAUUGUAGAAGAAUUCCGCAAAGGCAUGGUAUGUCACGUACAAUAGAUAAAUAAUAUAUCAGUUAUCCAUUCGAAUGAUGGUUUUCCAUUCCUGCAGGUUAACAUAAUCGUUGCAACUUCAAUUCUUGAAGAAGGCUUGGAUGUUCAAUCAUGCAACCUAAUUAUCAGAUUUGAUCCUUCACCAACAAUUUGUAGUUUCAUACAGUCUCGAGGACGUGCUAGAAUGCAGAACUCAGAUUAUCUAUUAAUGCUGAAGAGGUAAUAAUUUAUAUUUCUAAUCCUUGCCAAAUAUCAUUUCUCAAGUUUUAAAGAUCUUUAGUACUAGUGCUGCCAUGGAUGACUUUUUUUCCUUUUUCUUUUUAUAUAUAAGGUUACCAUUAAAACACCUUCAAAAGUAUUAUGCACUCACAUUUGGUAAAAAGCAUUUGGAAUCCUAUUAAUUUGCUUGAUUUUAUACUUUUGAGGGCCUUAACAAUGCUCUGGUUUGAUUAUUGUAGUGGGGACUUUUCUACACAUUCUCGACUGAAGAACUAUCUUACUAGUGGAGAUGUAAUGAGAAAGGAAUCUUUACGCCAUGCAUCCAAUCCUUGUUCUCCUCUUAGUAAGGGCUUAGAUGAUGAAGAGUUUUACCAAGUUGCGAGUACAGGGGCAUGUAUGACUCUUAGUUCUAGUGUUGGUCUAAUGUACUUCUAUUGCUCACGUCUCCCUGCAGAUGGGUUAGUGAUUAUUAAUAUUGGUUGUUGCACAUUCUGUUAAUAUUUAAUGACUUAUUUCUUCCUUUUUAUUUAGUUAGGGCCUUAUUCAUGGCUUAAUAGUUUUUACUUCUUUCUUGUAUUUGUUUGUUCUCUCUAGGUAUUUUAAACCUAUUCCGAGGUGUGUUAUUGACAAGCAAAUGGGGCUUUGCACCCUCCUCCUACCCAAGAGUUGCCCUAUACAAACUGUUUGUGUUCAGGGUAAUAUAAAAAACCUAAAGAAAAUAGCUUGCUUUGAAGCAUGCAAGAAACUCCAUCAAAUUGGUGCUUUAACAGACAAUCUUGUUCCUGAUAUUGUUUUUGAAGAAAAUGAUGUGGAAGAAUUUGGUAGUAAUAAUGCAUGUCUUUAUUUUCUUUUUAUCCAAUAAUUAAUGUAUGUAAUUUCAAGAUAUUUAAAGUCGUUAGAAGAAGUAUCUGAUUUUCCUUUAUUUUAUUUAAUUAUUUGAUUUGUAGAAAAGGAGCCCUAUAAUGAUGAUCAACCUAUUUUCUUUCCACCUGAACUAGUGAAUAAGGGUUCACUGGACUCCAUGACAAAGUACUACUGCUAUUUAAUGGAGUUGAAGCAGAACUUUGAUUAUGAGGUUCCUGUUCAUAACAUCAUGCUUCUUGUCAGGAAUCAGUUUGACAUGGAUGAAAAAAGUGUGAAUAUUGAGUUAGAAGUUGACAGGGGCACAUUAACAGUUAACAUGAAAUAUAUUGGACUAAUACGUCUUAAUUCUGACCAGGUACUAUAUAUAUUUUAAAUUUUAUUAUUGUUCUAGGGUGAUAAGAAUAGAAAAUAUAUUGUAAUGCGUUCAACGUUUUAACAUUUUACCCUCUGUGCGCUUUUUCCAUUUUGGUAGGUUAUCUUAUGUAGAAGGUUUCAGCUUGCAGUUUUUCAAGUACUUAUGGAUCGUAAAGCUGAAAAGUUGGCAGAGGUGUUAUGUGACCAUACCUUGGGGAAUAAUUCCGAAAUUGAUUAUCUACUCCUCCCAUCAAAUUAUGUGGGCCAGAGUCCUCUGAUUGAUUGGUUGUCAGUUACUUCUGUCACAUUUUCUUAUGAAAAGGCCUGGAAGAAUCAUGUGAACUGCAAUGCUGGUAUGAUACAGACCAAAAGCGGUCUGGUGUGCACUUGCAUGGUCCAAAAUUCGUUGGUCUUUACUCCUCAUAAUGGUCAUGCUUAUAUUAUCAGUGGUCUUUUAACUAAUAUAAAUGCAAAUUCACUUUUGAGGUUGAGUGAUGGACGCUUAAUGACUUACAAGGAGUAUUAUGAACAACGGUAAGCAUUUCUUUAGUAAUUUUCCAAAGAAUUAAUGUGAACAUGUGAUGCUUAUGUUUCUGGUUAUUAACUCAAUUCUCAUGUGACAUUACAGCCACAGUAUCAAUUUCUGUUAUAGUGAAGUCUCUUUCCUUGCUGGGCGACAUAUUUUCCCUGUGCAAAAUCACAUUCAAAGCUGCAGAAAACAAAAAGAGAAAGGCAUGUUGUCUCUUAUCAUCUUGCCUUUUAGAGAUUAGUAAGGAUAGCUUUAGAUGAUCUUUGCAAUUGAAUUCAACUGUUAAGAACAAUUUUCAUAUUGGAAGAUUUUUUGUAGAGAAAUUAAGAUUUUCGUAAUAUCUGGUACAAAAUUGGUUUUGUCCAAGUGUUCAUACCGGUUCAGUUUAUUUUAAUAUUAAUUUUUUUUUAUUUAUGUUGCAGAAUCAAGUAAUGCAUUGGUAGAAUUGCCUCCUGAGCUUUGUUGUGUAGUAAUGUCUCCCAUAUCGGUUAGCACAUUUUAUUCAUUCACAUUUCUUCCGUCAAUCAUGCAUCGACUCGAGUCUUUGCUCCUUGCUACCAGCUUGAAAAAGAUGCAUUUGGAUCAUUGCGUGCAAAAUAUUGCGAUUCCAACCAUGAAGGUGAGCUAGCAUACUUUUGAAUUCCUCUUUUCAGAGCCACCUAUGCUUUACAGAAAUAUGUAUUACAUCUUAAAAUUAUCUGCUGAAGUAUUAUUGAGAAAACAAACAGUAUGUAUAACAUCCUUGUGAUAUGUACUGUUAAGUGUUGCAUUUUAUAUGUUGUGUUUGACUUGGCUCAACUAUGCUUGGUAGGUUUUGGAGGCAAUUACAACCAAAAAAUGCCUAGAAAACUUUCAUUUGGAAUCACUAGAGACUCUUGGUGACUCUUUUUUGAAGUAUGCUGUUUGUCAGCAGCUUUUCAAAAAAUAUCAAAAUCAUCAUGAGGGCCUUCUUAGUAUUAGGAAGGACAAAAUUAUUUCGAAUACGGCUCUGUCCAUGCUAGGAUGUGACAAGAAACUUCCGGUUAGUUGUCUUCUAGAUAUUUAUUUAAUUUAUCCAAUUGUGUUGUUAUAUAGUCAGUUCUCUCUUUAAUAUGCUUUGGAAACUGCAGGGGUUUAUCCGUGAUGAGCCUUUUGAUCCCAAAGAUUGGAUGAUUCCUGGUUAUAAUUGUGGAAAUUACUCAUUAAAUGAGGAAACACUGUGUAAUGCAAAAAAAAUAUAUGUUAGAGGGAGAAGAAAGCUAAAGUGUAAGAAGGUUGCUGAUGUUGUUGAGGCACUUAUUGGUGCAUACCUUAGCACGGGAGGCGAAGCAGCUGGAUUACUAUUUUUGGAUUGGAUCGGUAUAAGUAUUGAUUUCACAAAUAUACCAUAUGAAAGACAUUUUAAAGUGCGGGCCGAGAAGUUUCUUAAUGUCCAGCACUUUGAGUCCCUUCUACACUAUUCAUUCCAAGACCCUUCUUUGUUGGUGGAAGCAUUAACCCAUGGUUCUUAUAUGCUUGCUGAAAUUCCAGGUUGUUAUCAGGUGAUAAUCUGCCAUACGAAUGACACAUUAAUGGUGCAAUUUUUUUUUCAUUAUCUGUAUCUUAAUGUCUUAUAAUUAUAGGUAGUUGGUUCCGUUUUCUCUUUCAAGUUUAAAUUGACCAUAAUUAAUACUUUUUCCUUGCAGCGGCUGGAAUUUCUAGGGGACUCCGUUUUAGAUUAUCUUAUUACUCUGCAUUUAUAUAAUAAAUAUCCUGGGAUCACGCCAGGAUUAUUAACGGAUCUUAGGUCAGCAUCUGUUAACAACAAUUGCUAUGCAUUAUCAGCUGUAAAGGCUGGAUUUCAUAAGCACAUUCUCCAAAGUUCACAGAAGCUUUACAAGGAUAUAAAAGAAACCGUUGAAAGUUUUCAGGAAUUAUCGUUGGAAUACACUUUCGGCUGGGAAUCUGAAAAAUCUUUCCCCAAGGUUUGCAUUAGAUUACGAUUACCACUCUUGACUUGAUUAUUUACAUAGCAAUGCUUGCUUAUCAGAGUUUUCUCCUUAUUUCGUGAAGCAGUGUAGAGUAAUGGGAUCUUAAAAGCAUUAUUUUUAUCACCAUUGCUCUCGCUUAGAGCAUAUAUCAUUGUUGUGAAUGUUUCUUAAAUGAUCUAAUUAUGACAGGUACUCGGUGACGUGGUGGAGUCACUUGCUGGAGCUAUUUUUGUUGAUUCAGGAUACAAGAAGGAAAUUGUAUUCCAGAGUAUAAGGCCACUGUUGGAGCCCAUGAUUACUCCAGAGACUAUGACGGUUCACCCUGUCAAAGAGCUAUAUGAGCUCUGUCAAAAGGAGCAUUAUGAACUAAGAAAAGCCAUUGUUUCACAAGAGGACGGCAUUUCUUCUAUUACGAUAGAGGUUGAAGCAAAUGGGAAGGUAUUCAAGCACACAUCCACAGCUUGUGAUAAGAAGAUGGCCAAGAAACUGGCUUCCAAAGAAGUUUUGAAGUCUCUAAAGGGAGCCAAUUUUAGCUAGAUUUUGCAUUUGACCUAAGCUGAGAUCAAACAUCUAUUACAUUGCAGUAGCUUUAGCAAAGAUUGAAAACAUGGGGGACUCAACUUGCAGAAGAGUAUUUGGGUUACCUUCCUCAACCAGGGUACCUUGAUUGAGAACAAAUACUUUGUCCACAUUCAAACUGUUCAAAUAGGAUGUGCGAUUGUGAUCACUGUCAUUCCUCAAAGGAAAAAUAUGAUCCUUUAUGGGUGAAGGGUUUCAUAAGUACUUUCUUUUCAAGUUUAGCAAUAAACUUCAAAUGUCACUGACUGCUCUCACUUGUUUGACAAACCCUUUGCAGGGGACAAAUGAUGAUAUGAUUGGUUUCAUGGGAAGAGAUUAUGGGGACUUUCAAAGGAAAAAUAUGAUCCUUUAUGGGUGAAGGGCGGUGACCAUUGCAACCUGGAAACUUUCCCCAAGUACAUUAAGCAAGUACGCAAAUUCAUAAAGCUUGAUGGAGAGGAUUUUGAUUUCGAAACCGGCUAAAGAACAUACUUCUACCCCAAGCAUUAUAGAAUCUAAACACUGAAAAUGCUUGAGAUUGAAGACAAAGAAGAUACUAUUUGUUCCCAGUUCACCACCUCUAUAAUCUGUUAUUGUUUAUUCAAAAUUGAGAACACUUUUGAUGAUAAAUUGCCAAAUACUAAAAUAUGUGGUUCCAGACACUACAUCAGGAACUUCCAUGGUUGGAAUUUGUUUACCUACGUAACUGACCUCAACUAAUAGAAGUCCUCUAUUGAGUGGCAUGUAAAAUUAUGAGGACUUAUAGGUAACGUUUACUAGGGUUUGUGUUUGUAGAAUUUUUUUUUUCCUUGACAAGGACUUUUGCAAUUCUGUGUUAAAUUAAACUCUAAAUUGGGAUAAGUAGCAAUUGGCCGCUAUCAUGUUUUCAACGGGUUGAGAGAAAGUGAAAAGAGGAAAUUAGGAAUUGGAGAAAUCAAGCCCUAGAUUGACAAUGCAAAAGGAACAAGCAAAUGAGAAACUUGAUGGGCUUAAUUAAGAUGGACUUAACAAGAAAGACAAGCAAUGAAGGAAUAAAGUAUGGAAUAAGAGGAGUUUUGAUCUUAUUAACUUGAAUCUGCAAUUUAGGAAACGAGCCAGAAUGGUUUGGCCUCAGCGGGUUGAGGCAGUUAUGAGUGUAUGUUAGGUUUCGAUCCGUGCUUUCUGUGAUAGGCGUCAUUCGGACAUGUGUUUGAGAAAAAUGAGAACAUGUUUUAAAUCUCGAUCUGAUGAGCAUCGUGUCAAGUGCUGUUCAUGACAUUCUUUUAGUUGGAUGCAAGUUUUGGCUCAGAGAGGUAGUCGGAGAUUGCUUUAUGUAACUAGGCGUCAAGAGGAUCAAGAUGCGUCUGGCAACAAUAAAAGUACAAUUGCGAUCCAUGUCAAUUGUACCUUGCUUUGAUUAAGUAUUUGGUUGUACUUAAGUGUUUAAUUAUCAUUAGAAUUUCUGACUUGGGGGUUGUGGAUUUGCUAGUGAUGUUUCUGAGAUAAAGCGAGUUAGCUAAUAGUAACUCCGUUAGAAAUAUUGUUUGGAUUGCAUUGAAAUCAGAGUCGUGCAGUGAUAGUGUAACCCUAGAAUUUCUUAAUUUUGUUUCUGUGAAUUUUGACACAGAUGUGUAUCUGCUUCAAUGGCUAAGUGUUUUGGAUGUGUGUAUAAGGUUUUAGGUUUAAGUUUCACUUUUGGCAAAUUAUGUUUUUUUUUAUCCUAGCCUUAUCCCUAUUAGGUGGGCUUAUGUAAUAUUGUUUGUAAAUUCAUAUUAGAAUGAGAGUUAGUGGGUUAGUUAGUGGAUAAUGGGGGUUGAGAUUUAGUAGGAUGUUAAUCAAAUUAUUUGAUUUUUAUUUUGUUUUUUCUCUCUCCUGUCGGAAUUUUUGUUCAAUUAUGACUUUUUUUCCAAACUCUCAAGUUUUCUUUCUUCUCUUCUUCUCCAUCUUUUUUAUCGUCCCCUUUCUUUUUCUUUCGAUUGGGGUUAUUUAUUCCUACGCUGCUCGAACAAAUUGUGGAGGGGGAAAUUGAUCUAUUAUUGGGUAUUUCGUAAGUAGCGCUUUAUUCUGUUGAUCUCGUUGUUCAUUUCAUAAAUUUCUGUUGUGAAAGUAUGUUUGUAAUUACCCGAAUGUUGGAUUAAUUGUUAGUUUUGGUUGAACGACUUAGAGGGAUCUCAAGAAGCAUUUAGUCCUUUAACGAGUUAGGUGUUAAGGAGCAUCGUUUCGUCUAAGGUGAGCACUUCGGAAUUGGGAAUUUUAGUUCUUUAAUCGUUUCGGUUUUUGAAUUGGUAUCUGAUACGAGUCACAAAAGCCCAAAUUCUUGAAGGUGAGGCCCAAUAAACAAAUUCCCAGCCCAAUCAAGAAAUCCGUACAUACUUAGUUGAAAAUCAGGCCAAAAUGUCAAAGCGCCCAAUUUGCAAACAUUUUAUUUGUUAAUUUAAUUUUUUAGGCUCUAGAGAUAUUAUAUGUUAAAUUCGGCCCAAAACAGCCCAUGCUAGGCCGAAAUUCUUUUAUUAUUUUUAUUAUUUAGGGUUAAUUUUUAAGUUUUCUAAUAAGGUUAGGAUUAGUUUGAGGCCUAUAUAAGUGAUGGCCGGCCACCUCCUUGUAUUAACUUCUCAAACAUAUCAAAAAUUUCAGAUUUGUUUAAGUGCAGAAUUCUCUUUGAGUUUUUCUUCAAGAAUUCUCUCUUGGGUUUUCUUUAGAAGUUGUUUUAACAAUAUUUUGAUUGUGGGAGCCAUCUUCAGCUUUCUUCUUGCCAUUGAUAUUCUUUGGAGGGGAGAUUAGAGCCGUUUGAAGGGAGUUGUGAGAUCUUUCGGGAUUUCAAGGCUUCUCAGGACUUAUCUUUUAAUUUUUUGCUGUCAAUUCUUUCUUUAUUUCUGCUUGUGCCGAAUCUUUAUCUAAUUUAUUUGUUGUUCUUAUUUUCAGCCUUUUUCUAUCUUAACAAUCAGUCAAAAAUCCCCAAUUUCUAGGGUUCUUGCUGAUUUAUCCAUACUCUUUUUGGGUGAAAUUAGAUUGCCGAAAUUUGGGGAAAAUUAUCUUGGUGUUCAAUUGGGCAGAAUCGCAACCUCCUUUAGGGUUUCAAGAAUCCUUAUUAACACUUAUUUCUAUUCUCAAUUUUACUCUUUGCUGAUUUGGACAUUUUAUUUCAGAUCUAGAAAUUCAAAGUUCUAAUCUUUUAAUUUUCUGUUUCGUUUCAGAUCUGAUUGUUUAGAGCUUUUAUAGGAGUUUUCCGUGACUUGACGACUCGAUCUUGGUCCGCGCGCAACCCUCUAUCAUUUGGUAUCAGAUUUUUGGCGUUUUGGGUGUUCUUGGUUGAUUUCUAAACUGAUCUCAAUUUUUUUAAAGCACAAACAGCAGUUUUACCUAGAAAUUUUUUUGAAAAAAAAUUCAUUUGAGUGGGUAAACGUUUUCCGAUUGAUCUAAAAUUUUACAUACAUAUUUUUGGCACUGUUAUUGAAUAUAAAAAAAUGUUUCCUGCAAAAAAAUCAGUCAAAAAAGUCAAAAAAUCGAAAAAAAAUAUGAAAUCCAAUAAAAAUUUUAAAAAAUAUUCAGCGGGUUGAAUUUGGUGCCCAAACUUUCCAUAUCAAAAAUUAAAUAUUUAAGGACAUUCCAGAUUUAAUUUCGUGAUUUUUUGAGAUCAGGAACACCUCGAACGAAGUUGUCAAGUUACUCCGCAGUUUUUCGGGUUUUUCAAUUUCAGCAAUUUUUAUUGAUUCUUAGUUGUAGGUUUUCAUUUGUUUUCCUUUAUUAUCCCUUUACAAUAUCUAAAACCUUCUUGUUUCUUGUGUUAGUAGGAUUUAAACGUGUGCACAAUCCUUCCUCAGUGCAACACGAAUCAAUUGGUGUCUCGUCAGUUUUUGGUAUCCUAGUGCAAAUUAGGAUUCUUUGUUAGUUCGGUUCAUACACUUUCUAAUUGGUUGAUAUAAACUCUACUAAAGAACUCACAAGACUGAAUUCUACCUCAUUGAGAAUUUGAUUUUCUUUUUGAGUGAUUAACGGUGAGGUUUGCUAACUUUUCUUUUUGAGUGUUGAGUCUUUAUUUUUUGCAGGUUUUUGGAAAAUGUCUAAAGAUGACCAUAAUGAUACACUUAUGAAAGUCCAACAACAGUUAGAUGGACAUGCUGCUGCAAUCACACAAAUAAAUGCUACACUUCAAGCAUUGAGUACUAUUUUGAAUGAGGUGAGAUUAAAUCAAGAGCCUUAAUAUCGAGAGCCAAUUAAAGAAGAUAUGGAUAACCAGCCUCCUGCUCAUAGGCAUGGUCCUCGACGUGUCCCUAGAACUGAUUAUGAUCUUCAUGAUCGUGAAAAACCAUCUUUGGCAAAACCAAAGAGCGAGCAGCAACGAGAACAUCUCUUUCAUACUCGCUGCCAUGUACAAGGUAAGCUUUGUAGAGUUAUUAUUGAUGGUGAAAGUUGCUCGAACGUAGCCAGCACGACGAUGGUGGAAAAGCUUUGCUUAACCACUACCAAGCAUCCACAACCUUAUCAACUACAAGGGCUUAGCAACGAAGGCCAAUUUAGGGUCACUCAACAAGUGCGCAUCGCCUUUUCUAUCGGUAAGUAUCAAGACGAAGUUGUGUGCGACGUAGUGCCUAUUCAAGCCUGCCAUUUGUUGCUAGGAGAACCAUGGCAACUGGAUCAAAAGGUCACUCACGAUGGUCGUAAAAAUAGGUAUUCUUUCAAGCAUCAAGGAAGGAAAAUCACCUUAGUGUCGCUCACUCCGGAACAAGUCCAUGAGGACCAAAUCAAAUUGAAAAAUUCUGUUGUUAAAACAAGUGAGGAAAAAGAAAAAGAGAAUGAAAAAGAGCAAAAAGAGAUUGAGAGUGAAAAGGAAUGUGAAACAGACAAGAAAAUUGAAAAAGAAGUUGAAGAAAGAAGAGAAAAUGAGUUAGAAAAAGAAACAAAAGAAAAAGACGAGGAAAGGGUAGUGAGGAAUGUUUCCAUUAACCAAGAUAUGAAUUUUUCUUGUGUUGCUACAUUUCAGGUUCCCGAAAGACCGAAAGAUAACUUUCAACUUCAAUACCUCUCAAAUGAAAGACGCUUUCAUACGAUCAACAUAGGCAAAGAUAAAAUCACACUACAUGAGCCCAAAGAGCUUCGACUACACUAUGCCCCCGAUAAGCGAAGGUUUGUAAUAAAUGGAAAAGGUAAAUCGACCCUUAUUAUUCUGCUUAUAAAGUGGACUCAAUUGCCAUUAGUCCCGUUCGAUCGAGGAAAGUCGAGUCCAUUUUAUUUUUCAGAUUCGAGGACGAAUCUUUUUGGGGAAUGGAGGAAUGAUACGAGUUACAAAAGCCCAAAUUCUUGAAGGCGAGGCCCAAUAAGCAAAUUCCCAGCCCAAUCAAGAAAUCCGUACAUACUUAGUUGAAAAUUAGGCCAAAAUGUCAAAGGGCCCAAUUUGUAAACAUUUUAUUUGUUAAUUUAAUUUUUUAGGCUCUAGAGAUAUUAUAUGUUAAAUUCGGCCCAAAACAGCCCAUGCUAGGCUGAAAUUAUUUUAUUAUUUUUAUUAUUUAGGGUUAAUUUUUAAGUUUUCUAAUAAGGUUAGGAUUAGUUUAAGGCCUAUAUAAGUGAUGGCUGGCCACCCCAUUGUAUUAACUUCUCAAACAUAUCAAAAAUUUCAGAUUUGUUUAAGUGCAGAAUUCUCUUUGAGUUUUUCUCCAAGAAUUCUCUCUUGGGUUUUCUUUAGAAGUUGUUUUAACAAUAUUUUGAUUGUGGGAGCCAUCUUCAGCUCUUCUUGCCAUUGAUAUUCUUUAGAGGGGAGAUUAGAGCCGUUUGAAGGGAGUUGUGAGAUCUUUCGGGAUUUCAAGGCUUCUCAGGACUUAUCUUUUAAUUUUUUGCUGUCAAUUCUUUCUUUAUUUCUACUUGUGCCGAAUCUUUAUCUAAUUUAUUUGUUGUUCUUAUUUUCAGCCUUUUUCUAUCUUAACAAUCAGUCAAAAAUCCUCAAUUUCUAGGGUUCUUGCCGAUUUAUCCAUACUCUUUUUGGGUGAAAUUAGAUUGUAGAAAUUUGGGGAAAAUUAUCUUGGUGUUCAAUUGGGCAGAAUCGUAACCUCCUUUAGGGUUUCAAGAACCCUUAUUAACACUUAUUUCUAUUCUUAAUUUUACUCUUUGCUGAUUUGGGGAUUUUAUUUCAGAUCUGGAAAUUCAAAGUUCUAAUCUUUUAAUUUUCUGUUUCGUUUCAGAUUUGAUUGUUUAGAGCUUUCGUAGGAGUUUCCCGUGACUUGACGAUUCGAUCUUCGUCCGUGUGCAACCCUCUAUUAGUAUCCUUAAUCAAAUUAUAGAUUUUGGUGGUCUCGAGAUUACAAUUGCUCCAAAAACGAACCAAUUUUGUAACGAUGACACGAGAAAUCGAGGUCCGGUGAAAGAUAAAAAUGGGGUCUGUCAACGCUACAUGGGCGUGUGGCCGACCGUGUGCGACACAUGGCCGUGUGAUAGUCGAGGGGCCACACGGGUUAGCCGAAUUGGGUGCGUGGACCACACAGGCACGCCACACGGACGUGUGGGUUUUAAGCCAGGCCCUGUGGGCCACACAGUCAAUUUGGGCGUGUGGGCCAUACGGGCAUAUGAACCCAAAUUUUUGAAAAUUUCCCUAAAGUUGCAUAGGUCAUUUUGAUCGACUGUGGGCCUUCCGUAGGGUCAGUAAGGGCUAAUUAAACCCUAUUGUAUGUGAUCUGUUAUUCUGAUAGUCUGAUCUAAGUAGGAAAUUGAUAUAUAUGUCUAAUUGUUCUAUAUAAGUAUGUAUGAUUUUUGUACAUGAGUAUGCGAGCCAUGUUAUUUAUGAUAAUAUGUUAUUUGAUAUCUGUUUCUAUAUACGGGGUGGGAUUUGUAUAUGUGGAGGAAGUGUUCUGUACAGCGACAUUUUGCCUAUUUUCUGGCAGCUUGACUACAUACUAUUCUGUUGUGUCAUUUAGACACUAUAUGGUGUGUAGGGAUGGCUGGGUGUUUUAAACUCCACAUGGGGUGAUUGGAUAGUCGGAGAUGGUGUGUAGAGGAUGAGGGUAGGAUUCUGUAUAUAUAAUCUGACUAUCUGAUUUUGAUAUUUGUUUCUGUUAAGAAUUUAGGUCUGAAUCUAUAUAUGUUCUGCAAUAAAAAAUUCUGUGUUUAUUUGCAUGACUAUCUUAUACAUGUCAUUCAAUUUUCUAUAAUUCAAAUGACCUAAUCUAUAAUGCCAUAAACAAAAAGAUUCAACCAUAUAAGCAGAAAUAAUAUUUUUAUACUUAUUAAUAAUAUUGAGUUUGAACAUAUUCUUAUACAUAUACCCUUUCCCUACAAAAAUUUCUCCCUUAGACAAAAUAAACUUAUCUGCCUCAAAAACAAGUUUGAAACCAAACUUAUUCAAUAGACUUCCAGACACUACAUUCUUUCUAACUUCUGGUACAUAAUACAUUCUUUCUAACUUCUGGUACAUAAUAUAUAUCAUUUAAGGUUAAAACCUUUCAAGAAGUGAAUUGUAGUUCAACAGACCCUUUGCAUUUGAUUGCUGCGGUGGAAGAAUUUCUCAUGUACAAGACAUUGUCAUUUUCACAUUGUGUGAACUUUGUGAACAUGCUUUUGUCUUUGCACACAUGUUUGGUUGCUCCGAUAUCAAUCCACCAUGUAUUAUCAUCUUGUGCCAUAUUAAUUUCAGAUAUCAUUGCAACGAACUUUUCAUUAUUAUCAGCCUUAGAAGUGAUUUCUUCUUUAAAAAUCGACAUUCAUUCUUGAAAUGUCUCGACUUUCCAAAGUGAUAGCAUGAGCCCUUUUGUUUCUUUUUGAACUUAGGUGCUCUAUCAAUCUGUUUAAACUUUCUCUUGAAUGGUUUAGUAGUUUGUACUUCCUCCAUAACAUGCACUUUGGCAUUUUUAGAAUUUAGGUUCUGAUAUUGUUUUCGAUAUUCUUCUUCAAUACGAAGAUGAUUUGCCAAAGCCUCAAGAGAUAUUUCCUCUUUAUUACGUUUUAGACUUCUUUUUAGGGGUGUUCAUUCGGUUAACCGACCUGAAAUAGCAUUAACCGAAUUAACCGACCUUUCAAAAUUUUUAACCGUUAACCGAACCAAAAUUUUUUCGGUUAAUUCGUUCGGUUAACUGAAUUAACUGAAAAUUAUAUGUUUUUUUAUUUUUGGUUAAAAAUUAGCCGAAUUAACCAAAUUAACCGAAUUACCCGAAUUACUCGAAUUAACCAAAUUACCCGAAUUACCCGAAUUAACCGAAUUAACCUAAUUGAAUCAUACAUAAUUAAAUUAUUUUUAGACUUUUAUACUUUAGUUUUAGUUUUAGAAUUUUAUUUUUAUUUAUUAAAUUAUUUGUAAUUUUUAUGAUUGGGUUGGGUUGGGUAAUUGGGUUGGAUUGAAUAUUUGGGUUUGGAUUGGGUUUAGGUGAAUAGUGGGUCUAUUUAUAUAUUAUAAUUUUAUUUAUUAAUUUUUUCGGUUAAACUAAAAAAAUUCGGUUAACCGAUCGGUUUUGAACCGAAUUAACCGUUAACUGAAAAAUCAAAAAAUAAUUAACCGACCCCCAACCGAAAAAAUUUGGUUAACCGACCGAUUAACCAAAUUCGAUCGGUUAACCGAAUUUUUUCAGUUUUACCCGAAUUUUGCACACCCCUACUUCUUUUAAAGUUCUUCUAAGAUGGAGGAAGUUUGUCUAUUAUGGAGGAUACAACAAUCAUUUCAUCCAUUUUCAUAUCAUAUUGCUUGAAUUGAUUCAGCAUAUUUUCAAUAUCACAAAAUUGUUCCAUAACAGAACUACCAUCAACCAUUUGAUAAUUAUUGAAACGACUGACAAGAAAUUUCUUACUUGUAAUAUAUUUGGUCAUGUAUCUUGUCUCCAAUUUGUCCCAUAAUUCUUUAGCGGUGACUUCGUUUUGGUAGGUGUUGAACAAACCAUUAGAUAAACCAUUCAAUAUGUGGUCCAUGCACAUGUAAUCAGCAUUGCCCCAUUUUUGUCUUUCCCAGGUUGUAGCAACAGAUUCGUUUUCAUUCUCUUCAGGUCUUGGAGUAUCCAAAACAUAAGCAAUCUUCAAAGUUGAUAAUAAGAAGUGCAUCUUUUUCUGCCAUCAUCGAAAAUUGCCAUCAUCAAACUGAUCAAGUUUGACAAAGUUGGAAGCCAACUCCCUUAGUGUUCCACUUUCAUGUGUUGUGGUUGUAAUGGCCCAAAUUUAAUGUUAUCAGAAUAGUAGUUUUGUAACCACAAAUCCGAUGAGAAAAAAAUUAUUUUUCUUAUAUUUUUAUGGUCUACGAUUUCACAAAAUGAUUUCGUGAAAAUUUCGUUCGAAAAUUUCGACAUUUGGGCACUCAAUUUAGUCAAAAGGACUAAAUUGUAAAAAGUGCAAAAGUUAAGUUCUACAUGUUAGAGGUGUCCAAUUGUUAUGAAACUUUAAAUUGGAGGUCCUUAUAUGGCAAUUAGACCAUUGGCUAAGUUGGUAGACAAAAAUGGACAUGAAAUAAGUGAAAUAGGAAAAUUUUAAGUUAGGGGCAAUUUGGUAAUCUAGUAAUAAAAAGAAUUAAAAAGGGAAAAAGAUGGCCAAAAAUAUCAUCUUCUUCAUGGUGAACAAAAUCAGCAACGGGGAAGCCAUAUUUAGGGUUUUCAAGGUUCCAAUCUCCAUAGUAAGUGAUUCCAAGCCCCGUUUUAAUGUUCUUUACGUUUUUGAGGUCCCGGUAGCUUAAUUUAGCUUAUUCUAGUAAUAAUUUAACCUAGGGUUUAUAUCUGGAAAAAUACCCAUAGGUGAAAAGUGUUUAUUUUUAUGUUUUAAUGUAGAAUAUGAAGCUAGAAAUUAUGUUAAUGUAAUAGCCCGAUUUUUAGAAAUGUUAAAAACAGUGGUAGAGACCACCAAAUUUAGAAAAUAAGCUCGUAAAUUUUAUUAUUUAAUAACUACGUGUCAAAUAUGAUUUUUAAGAGAUUUUUGAAUUAGUAAUUUGUGUUUUAUAAAAAAAUUUAUUAAGUUAAGAAAUUGGGGAAAAGAGGUAUCGAGACCUAGAUGUUAUAAAUCGAGCCGUAAAUAUUUUUAUAAAUAUUAACGGAGUGUCAAUAUGGUAGUGUUAAAGUUUCGUCAGAAAAUUUUAACGUUUCGGCAGUCAAUUAAUUAAAAAAGACUAAAUUGAAAAGAUGUAAAACUUGCUAAAGUGAUUAAAUAGCUUAACAAUUAAAUAAGAAAGGACUAAAGGAGUAAAUGAACCAACUUAAGUGGCAGAGGCGGCAUACCCUUAAAAAAAUCAAAGAUUUUUAUGUAUUCAAGGACAAAAUUGGAAUUACAAUAAAGUUUAUGUGGCCAAAAUUUAUUUUAAGGAUUUCAAGACAAUUUCUUCUUGAAAUUUCGGUUGGAAACAGCCAUGGAGGAGGGUUUAGAGCUUGGCUUCCAUAUUUUAGCUUCAAGUAAGUGAAAUUCUUACUUUUUCCUUAAAAUUUGUAUAUUUUUAGAAUUUUACAAUUAGGUCCAACCUAGUAUUCUACUAGUUUCUCAUUUUGUUGAAAGUUUAGAAAGAUACCAUUGAUAAUUUCAUAUUGUUUUUGUUAUUUUAUGAUGAAAUUGAUAUGUUAAUGGAUGUUUAAAGGUGUUUUAUUAAAGAAUUUUGGAUGAAAAUAUGUUUUAGAGAUUAAGUUGAAAAGUAUUGAAAUUGUGGAAAAAUUCUGAAAUUUCAUGGAAUCCAUGGGCUUUUAUUGAUAUGUAUGAGAAUUAUUAGGCUUGGAUCAAGGAUUAAAUUGCAAGAAUUUUAUUUUCCGAGCCUAGGGAUGAAAUUGUCAUGUGUUAAAAGUUUAGGGUCAAAAUGGUAAUCAAAAUGUUGCACUAAAACAGUUUUGGACAGCAGCAGUAGUCUAACUUUGAAAAAUCACCAAAAAUUUUAGAGAUCGAAUUAUAGGAUGAAUAAAAUAAAAAAUUAAAACUUAUUGAGUCUAGUUUCUCAUAGAAGAAACGGUUUAAUCAAUGGAAUUGUAAAUCAUGAGAUAUAAUAGAUUUUGCGAGACCAGGUCAGAAUGAAUUCGGGUUCCCCUAUUCUGACUUUGGAAAAUUAUUAAAAAUUGUAAAAAAAAUUAUUAUGAGUUAUAAUUUAUAUGGUUAGAAUCCUUAAUGAGUCUAUUUUCAGAAGAAACAAACGGAAACAUCAUCUGAGUUCUGUACAAUGAGAUAAUUAAUUUUUAGUGAAGAGGGGUCUGAACUGUCAAACAAUGAAACAGGGGAAACUUUAAAAAAUAAACUGUACUUUUUGGCUAAACAAAAAAUUCUGAAAAUUUUAUGGUAAGAAGAUAUGUGAGUCUAGUUUCAGGAAAAAUUAACUAAUCUUAAUUUGGAGGUCUGUAGCUCGAGAUAUAAAUAAAUUAGUGACUCUGACUCAGAUAGACAGCUUGAAUUUACAUACAGGAAAAUAGUGAUAGCAUGGAAAAUGUUGCUUAAAUGUAUUAUACACAUUAAGGAUGUGGAAUGGAGAGGAGGAGGAGGAGGAGGAAAAUUUGAGAAUAUAUGAAUGAUUUGUCUAUAAUUGGUCAUAUGUUCGAUUAUAAUUGAUAAACGAUGAAAUAGAAAUGAUACUUAUAUUUGGGCAGUAUUGGUCAUGGUUUAAGCUUAUGGAGAAAAUAAAGUUUUAUAGUAUGUGUGUAUGGUAUAUAUAUGUGUGUGUGUAGUAAUUUAGAUAUAUGGAUGUAUUUUGGUUGUGGAUUGAUCAUGAUGAUAAAGGUUAGGUAUAUUUGGUCUAUUAAGUGACAUAAUUGAGAAGUAUGAUAGGUGGGUCAUUCUAUGUGUGAGAUGAUGUUAUAAUUUAGCUUGGUUAAGUAAGUUAAAAUGAUGAUUAUAUCAUUAAGGUUGCACUGAUUAAUCCGGUUUAUGUGAUGGAAAUAUCAAAUACGUUUGUCUUUGAUGCGUGAUAAUUAUUUAAUGCCAUGAUAAUUUGUUUAUUGGUGAGGUUUAAAAUGUAUCUAUAUUUUGUUAUAUAAUUUGUUUUGUAAUUUAUUUGACAAAUGAUAAAAAUUAACUCAGUUACUAUGUGAGGUGAAUUAUGAUUUGGAUAUCACAUCUAUAUUCUGCAAUAAUAGAUAAAAUAUAUUUAUGUCAUGGGUGUAUGGUUAAACACUUGGGCUAAUUUAAGGUGUAUAUUUAGUAAGGGUAGUUGGUAAUGAAGUAACAUGUUUUGAUUUAACAUCGAAUAGAGAAAAUUUGUUCUAUCUUUGUGGCUAAUAUUGAUAGUUGUAUGGGAGAUGAAUGGAUAAUGUUUAUGUGACACUUAGCUUAUAAGAUAUUGAGUAAUUGAUAUAUUACAAUAGUUAAAUAGGAAAAUGUGACGACAUGAGAAUAUGUAAUGAUACGGAUCAAUUCAGGUACUCGUGAUGAAUUCAAUAAGUAAAUGGAAAUUUUUAAAUUCAUACGACGAGGAAAUGAAAGAUUGUGAGUAUAUUGGGCUACGUAAACCCUAAUUAGCAAAUCAAGAAUAACAAUUGAAAAGUUUUUAGUUUAGAUGAAAUUUUACAACUCGGUUUAAUAUGGUUAAAAGUGUAUGUGUUCUGGUAAUACCUCGUACCCUAUUCCGACAUCGAAUACGGGUAAGGGGUGUUAUAUUUAAACAAUUUUUGCUAGUCGAUUUUAAGCGAAAACGAGUAAAACUCCAUAAUCGGUAAAAUACCUAAUGUUCACAAGUACAUGUUAGAGUGAGAAUUUGAUGUUUUCAUAGAAGAGAAAAAUGUUCAGCAUGUUAUAAAACAUAAGAAUAUGAGAUGAAGUUUAAUUUCCGAGCCUUGGGGAAAAUGUAAUUAUGUAAAAGUUUAGGGGCAAAAUUAUAAUUUUGACAAAGUUAGAGUCGAGGGCUGUUUUGAUAAAUGUGAGUAUUAAAUGAGUUAAAUUUUCUAUUUUAGAUCAAGAAGAACGAAACUCGAGGUUAGACAAAGGGAAGAAUAAAGUUGAAGACUAAGUUGGUGAAUUGGGCUAUAUUUGGUACCGAGGUAACUUUACAGUAAAUAAAUGCAAUACUUCAAUAAUUAUUAUUAAUGCUGCUAUUUUCCAACAACUAUGAAUUUAUUUCAUGAAUUUAUUUGAUGAUGAUCCAAGCAUGAAAUGAUAGAGAAUUAAAAUUAAAAAGUCUCGUUGAUACAUAAAGAUUGUACUGAAUAAGAAUGUCAUGACAUUGGGUAGAGAGGUCCCAUGUAAGACCAUGUUUGGGAAUGGCAUUGGCACCGAGAUGAGAGGUCCCAUGUAAGACCAUGUCUGGGACAUGGCAUUGGCACCGAGAUGAGAGGUCCCAUGUAAGACCAUGUCUGGGACAUGGCGUUGGCACCGAGAUGAGAGGUCCCCCGUAAGACCAUGUGUGGGACAUUACAUCGGUACCGGCAUGAGAACAUCCCAUGUAAGACUAUGUCUGGGACAUGGCUUUGGCAUGUUAUUAUCAUAAGAGACUCGAGUAUCCUUAUUAUUCCAAUGUAGCUCAACGGGCUAAUAAACGAAUCAUGUUCAUGAAAGUUCAGUUAAAAGCAUAAAUAGCAAGCUCAGGUAAGUUAUAAGAGUUAAGAACUUAUUAUAUUAUCAAUUGAUACUCAAUGUUUCAGCAAGGGAAGAGUAAGUUAUGAUCACGAGUUAACUAAGUAAACAAGCAGGAGAAUGAGAAUGAGAUUAAUUAAAGAGUAAAUUAGAGACCUUGACAUUUGAGUAUAAUCAUUUGUGCUAAAUGUUGUUAUUUAUUUGCUAGUAAACUUACUAAGCUUAAUGCUUACUUCUUUUAUUUUUAUUUCUCUUAUAGUAUUGCAAAGCUGCUUCAGGGAUCCUAAAGACGUCGGAGAUUGUCCACACUAUCAACCACAACAACUCGGUAUCUUAUGAUAAAUUAUGUUCGAGUUAUGGCAUGUAUAGGGAUUUAGUUAUUUUGCAUGUUUGUAAUUAUGAUUUUGCUAAAGAAUGAUGUGUAAGUAUUUGAUGAUGAAUGGUUAUUAAAAUGGUUAAGUAUGAAGGUGUUUGUUGUUAUAAAAGUUUAGGUGAUAAAUUAUGCAUGGAAAUUAUGAAAGGGUAAAAUUUUGCAAAGAAACAGGAUUCGGGCAGCACAGUGACGUGACUUUGAAAAAUCACCUAGGAUAGUAUAUAAUGAGUUAGAAGGUGAAUGAUAUAUAGAUUGAAAUCUUAUUGAGUCUAUUUUAUGGAAAAAUAAUGGUUUAACAAAAGUAAUUUUAUAUUUUGAGAUAUGUGAUUUUAGUGAGACAGGGUCAGGUCUAUUUUUGGAGUCCCCUGUUCUGAGUUUAGAAAAUCAUUAAAAAUUGUACAAAAAUGGUUAUGAGAUAUAGUUUAUAUGUAUAGAUUCCUUAUUGAGUUUAUUUUCUGUAGAAACAAGUAAUAACUUCAUAUGAAAAUCCUACAGUGAGAAAACUUAUUUUUAGUGGCAAGAGGUCAGGACAGUUAAGUGGUGAAAUAGGGGAGACUUUAACUAAUAAACUGUACUAAUUUUCUGAACCAAAAAUUCUAAAAAUUUUAUGGUAGGAAGAUAUAUGAGUCUAGUUUUAGGGAAAAUUUAUGGAAUUAAAUUUUGAGUCCUGUAGCUCGAGUUAUAAUUAAUUUAGUAACUACUGUGCGAUUGGAUAGAUUUACUGUAAAUAGCGAAAUUAAUUUUCAAAACAAGUCUUUAUGCUCCGAAUUAGUAAGAUAAGUUAAGUAAUGCCUCAUGCUCGACUUUGGCAACGGUCCCGGGUAAGGGGUGUUACAUUUUGUUAGUAUCAAAGUAGGUUUAGUCGGUUCUCGAAAAUACGCAGUAUGAAUAAGAGUUUACCUAUACAUGCCAUACUUAUAUAUUUUGAUAGUGUGACGACUCCUGACGAUUUUAAAAUGUUUUCUUUUAUAGUUAUGGAUCCUGAGCGAGUUGGUACAGAUGAAGUAGAGAGUAAUGCGCCUGCUCCCGCAAAAGGGAUGGCGCCACCAGAUGUUAAUGUUAGUGAAAGGCCUGCAUCCGUUAGACAGGGAGGAGGAGCUAGAGAAGCCUUCUUCCAAGCCAUGAAUGAUUGGUUUGCCAAGUUCGUUUGUACAAAUCUGGCUGUGAGAUCUCCACCCCCUCAUGAUUCACAGGUUCCCCAUGUAGCUUCCCCAACUGCAGGUAUAGUUAUCAGGGAGACACCACCUGUUGAUAAGAUUAGGAAGCAAGGGGCUGAAGAAUUUCGGGCUACCAAAGAUGAUGAUGCAGAAAAAGCAGAAUUCUGGCUUGAGAAUACCAUCAGGGUUUUUGAAGAAUUAUCUUGUACACCAGAAGAAUGUAGGAAAUGUGUUGUUUUACUUCUUCGAGAUUCAGCCUACCAUUGGUGGAAGACUCUUGUUUCAGUAGUACCGAGUGAGAGGGUUACCUGGGAUUUCUUUCAAGAGGAGUUCCGAAAGAAGUAUAUUAGCCAGAGAUUUAUAGAUAAAAAAAGGAAGGAGUUUCUUGGGCUAAAACAAGGUAAGAUGUCUGUGAUUGAAUAUGAACGCGAAUUUGUCAGACUUAGUAAGUAUGCCAGGGAAUUUGUGUCCACUAAAGCUAACAUGCGCAAGAGAUUUGAAGAAGGGCUUAAUGAUGAUAUUCGAUUAGCAAUGGGUGUCUUGGAAAUUAGAGAAUUUGUUGUUUUAGUUGAGAGAGCUUGUAAAGCAGAAGAUUUGUUGAAAGCAAAAGAGAAAGGAAAAGCUGAAGUUGAAGUACAAGAUACAAAGAAGAGGCAAAUGAGUAAAUCAUUUCAGUCUUCGUCUAAAAGGCCUAGAGAGCUCUCUAGCGGAUCAUAUUUUCCAACUACAUAUCCUAACCGAAGCAAGGGCAGAAGAUUCGAGGGUUCUAGAGCUCAAACCACUAUAGUUGCAAGCACGGGCAGUACUCGACCUCCUAGGCCGGAAUGUCCGCAAUGUGGGAGACGCCACCCCGGAGAGUGUAGAGCAGGUGAAAAUGUUUGUUUUAGAUGUGGAGCGUCAGAUCGCUUUAUUCGGGAUUGUCCUGAAACAACUAAAAGAGAAGAGAUAACGAGUGCGAGAUCAGGAAAUGCUCCUACCAGAGGUAGACCACAGAGAAACCCAGGAGUGGGAGCAAGUAACAGGGAUGCAUCCAGAGAUUCAACAGCUAGAUCAGAUGUUAGAGCACCCGCAAGAACAUAUGCUAUUCGAGCUCGUGAAGAGGCGUCCUCUCCUGAUGUAAUUGCGGGUACAUUUUCUCUUUAUGAUACUAAUGUUAUUGAAUUAAUUGAUCCUGGCUCUACACAUUCAUACAUAUGCACAAAAUUAGUAUUUGUUAAAAUUUUAUCUGUUGAACCUACUGAAUUUGUGGUUAAAGUCUGGAACCCCCUGGGCCAGUUUGUGAUGGUGGAUAAAGUUUGUAAAAAUUGUCCACUGAUGGUAAAAGGUAUUUGUUUCUCGGUUGACUUGAUGUUAUUGCCUUUUGAUGAGUUUGAUGUGAUAUUAGGCAUAGAUUGGUUAACUCAGCAUGAUACAGUAAUAACAUUGAGUCAACCGGUUAUUGCUGAGUUAACCAAUCUAUGCCCAAUAUCACAUCAAACUCAUUAAAAGGCAAUAACAUCAAGUCAAUCGGGAAACAAAUACCUUUUACCAUCAGUGGACAAUUUUUACAAACUUUAUCCACCAUCACAAACUGGCCCAGGGGGUUCCAGACUUUAACCACAAAUUCAGUAGGUUCAACAGAUAAAAUUUUAACAAAUACUAAUUUUGUGCAUAUGUAUGAAUGUGUAGAGCCAGGAUCAAUUAAUGCAAUAACAUUAGUAUCAUAAAGAGAAAAUGUACCCGCAAUUACAUCAGGAGAGGACGCCUCUUCACGAGCUCGAAUAGCAUAUGUUCUUGCGGGUGCUCUAACAUCUGAUCUAGCUGUUGAAUCUCUGGAUGCACCCCUGUUACUCGCUCCCACUCCUGGGUUUCUCUGUGGUCUACCUCUGGUAGGAGCAUUUCCUGAUCUCGCACUCGUUAUCUCUUCUCUUUUAGUUGUUUCAGGACAAUCCCGAAUAAAGCGAUCUGAUGCUCCACAUCUAAAACAAACAUUUUCACCUGCUCUACACUCUCCGGGGUGGCGUCACCCACAUUGCGGACAUUCCGGCCUAGGAGGUCGAGUACUGCCCGUGCUUGCAACUAUAGUGGUUUGAGCUCUAGAACCCUCGAAUCUUCUGCCCCUGCUUCGGUUAGGAUAUGUAGCUGGAAAAUGUGAUCCGCUAGAGAGCUCCCUAGGCCACUUAGACGUAGACUGAAAUGAUUUACUCAUUUGCCUCUUCUUUGUAUCUUGUACUUCAACUUCAGCUUUUCCUUUCUCUUUUUCUAUCAACAAAUCUUCUACUUUACAAGCUCUCUCAACCAAAAUAACAAACUCUCUAAUUUCCAAGACACCCAUUGCUAAUCGAAUAUCAUCAUUAAGCCCUUCUUCAAAUCUCUUGCACAUGUUAGCUUCAGUGGACACAAAUUCCCGGGCAUACUUACUAAGUCUGACAAAUUCGCGUUCAUAUUCAGUCACGGACAUCUUACCUUGUUUUAGCCUAAGAAACUCCUUCCUUUUUUGAUCUAUAAAUCUCUGGCUGAUAUACUUCUUUCGAAACUCCUCUUGAAAGAAAUCUCAGGUAACCCUUUCACUCGGUACUACAGAAACAAGGGUCUUCCACUAAUGGUAGGCUGAAUCUCGAAGAAGUAAAACAACACAUUUCAUACAUUCUUCCGGUGUACAAGAUAAUUCUUCAAAAACCCUGAUGGUAUUCUCAAGCCAGAAUUCUACUUUUUCUGCAUCAUCAUCUUUGGUAGCCCGAAAUUCUUCAGCCCCUUGCUUCCUAAUCCUAUCAACAGGUGGUCUCUCCCUAAUAACUAUACCUGUAGGUGGGGAAGCUACAUGGGGAACCUGUGAAUCAUGAGGGGGUGGAGAUCUCACAGUCAGAUUCGUACGAACAAACUAGGCAAACCAAUCAUUCAUGGCUUGGAAGAAGGCUUCUCUAGCUCCUUCUCCCUGUCUAACUGAUGCAGGCCUUUCACUAACAUUAACAUCUGGUGGCGCCGUCCCUUUUGCGGGAGCAGGAGCAUUACUCUCUACUUCAUCUGUACCAGCUCGUUCAGGAUUCAUAACUAUAAAAGAAAACAUUUUAAAAUCGUCAGGAGUCGUCACACUAUCAAAAUAUAUAAGUAUGGCAUGUAUAGGUAGACUCUUAUUCAUACUGCAUAUUUUCGAGAACCGACUAAACCUGCUUUGAUACUAACAAAAUGUAACACCCCUUACCCGAGACUGUUUCCAGAGUCGAGCACGAGGCAUUACUUAACUUAUCUUACUAAUUCGGAGCAUAAAGACUUGUUUUGAAAAUUAAUUUCGCUAUUUACAGCAAAUCUAUCCAAUCGCGCAGUAGUUACUAAAUUAAUUAUAACUCGAGCUACGGGACUCAAAAUUUAAUUUCGUAAAUUUUCCCUGAAACUAGACUCAUAUAUCUUCUUACCAUAAAAUGUUUAGAAUUUUUGGUUCGGCCAAUUAGUACAGUUUAUUAGUUAAAAUCUCCCCUGUUUCACCACUUAACUGUCCUGACCUCUUGCCACUAAAAAUAAAUUUUCUCCCUGUAGGAUUUUCAUAUGAAGUUCUUAUUUGUUUCUACAGAAAAUAAACUCAAUAAGGAAUCUAGAAAUAUAAACUGUAUCUCAUAACCAUUUUUUUACAAUUUUUAAUGAUUUUAUAAACUCAGAACAGGGGAAUCCAAAAAUAGACCUGACCCUGUCUCACUAAAAUUCACAUAUAUCAAAAUAUAAAAUUAAUUUUGUUAAACUGUUAUUUUUCCAUGAAAAUAAACUCAAUAAGAUUUAAAUAUAUAUAUCAUUCACCUUCUAACUCAUUAUAUACUAUCCUGGGUGAUUUUUCAAAGUCAAGUCACUGUGCUGCUUGAAUCCUGUUUCUUUGCAAAAUUUUACCCUUUCAUAAUUUCCAUGCAUAAUUUAUCACCUAAACUUUUAUAACAACAAACACCUUCAUACUUAACCAUUUUAAUAACCAUUCAUCAUCAAAUACUUACAUAUCAUUCUUUAGCAAAAUCAUAAUUACAAACAUGCAAAAUAACUAAAUCCCUAUACAUGUCAUAACUCGAACAUAAUUUAUCAUAAGAUACCGAGUUAUUGUGGUUGAUAGUGUGGACAAUCUCCGACGUCUUUAGGAUCCCUGAAGCAGCUUUGCAAUACUAUAAGAGAAAGAAAAAUAAAAGAAGUAAGCAUUAAGCUUAGUAAGUUUACUAGCAAAUAAAUAACAACAUUUAGCACAAAUGAUUAUACUCAAAUGUCAAGGUAUCUAAUUUACUCUUUAAUUAAUCUCAUUCUCAUUCUCCUGCUUGUUUACUUAGUUAACUCAUGAUCAUAACUUACUCUUCCCUUGUUGAAACAUUGAGUAUCAAUUGAUAAUAUAAUAAGUUCUUAACUCUUAUAACUUACCUGCGCUUGCCAUUUAUGCUUUUAACUGAACUUUCAUGAACAUGAUUCAUUUAUUAGCCCGUUGAGCUUCAUUAGAAUAAUAAGGAUACUCGGGUCUCUUAUGAUAAUAACAUGCCAAAGCCAUGUCCCAGACAUGGUCUUACAUGGGAUGUUCUCAUGUCGGUGCCUAUACCAUGUCCCACACAUGGUCUUACAUGGGACCUCUCAUCUCGGUGCCAAUGCCAUGUCCCAAACAUGGUCUUACAUGAGACCUUUCUACCCAAUGUCAUGACAUUCGUAUCCAGUACCAUCCUUAUGUAUCAACGGGAUUUUUUAAUUUUAAUUCUCUAUCAUUUCAUGCUUGGAUCAUCAUCAAAUAAAUUCAUAGUUGCUGGAAAAUAGCAGCAUUAAUAAUAAUUAUUGAAAUAUUGCAUUUAUUUACUGUAAACUUACAUUGGUACCAAAUAUAGCCCAAUUCACCAACUUAGUUUUCAACUUUAUUCUUCCCUUUGUCUAACCUUGAGUUUCGUUCUUUUUUUAUCUAAAAUAAAAAAAUUAACUCAUUUAAUGCUAACACUUAUCAAAACAGCCCUCGACUCUAACUUUGUCAAAAUUAUGAUUUAGCCCCUAAACUUUUACAUAAUUACAUUUUUCCCCAAGGCUCGGAAAUUAAACUUCAUCUCAUAUUCUUAUGUUUUAUAACAUGCUGAACAUUUUUCUCUUCUAUGACAACAUCAAAUUCUCACUCUAACAUGCAGUUGUGAACAUUAGGUAUUUUACCGAUUAUGGAGUUUUACUCGUUUUCGCUUAAAAUCGACUAGCAAAAAUUGUUUAACAUAAUUUCUACCUUCAUAUUCUACCUUAAAACAUCAAAAUAAACACUUUUCACCUAUGGGUAUUUUUCCAAAUAUAAACCCUAAGUUAAAUUAUUGCUAGAAUAAGCUAAAUUUAGCUACCGGGAUCUCAAAAACGUAAAGAACAUUAAAAACGGGGCUUGGAAUCACUUACUAUGGAGAUUGGAACCUUGAAAACCCUAAAUAUGGCUUCCCCCUUGCUGAUUUCGUUCACCAUGGAGAAGAAGAUAUUUUUGGCCAUCUUUUUCCCUUUUUAAUUCUUUUUAUUACUUGAUUACCAAAUUGCCCCUAACUUAAAAAUUUCCUAUUUCACUUAUCUCAUGUCCAUUUUUGUCUACCAACUUAACCAAUGGUCUAAUUACCAUAUAAGGACCUCCAAUUUAAAGUUUCAUAAUUGGACACCUCUAACAUGUAGAACUCAACUUUUGCACUUUUUACAAUUUAGUCCUUUUGACUAAAUUGAGUGCCCAAACGUCUAAAUUUUCGAACAAAAUUUUCACGAAGUCAUUUUGUGAAAUCGUAGACCAUAAAAAUAUAAUAAAAAUAAAAAUUUCCUCAUCGGAUUUGUGGUUACAAAACCACUAUUUCGAUAACCUUAAAUUUGGGUCAUUACAGUGGUAGUCAUCAUGAGAUAUAACCUUAAAAUUGUUAGUUCAAAUCUCUGGUGAGGAAAUUCUCUAACACAAGAACGGAACUCGAACAAAAAAAUAAGAAAUAGGGCAAGGCUCUAAGGUGUGUAUUAAGCCACUAUCUUUAAGAUUAUAUUCGUCCCCACCUAUCUUCGGUGUGCAAAUGAGUUUCAAGCAAAUUAACCUCGAUGAUACAAUGAAACCAAUGACUAUUUACGUUUUGCAUUGACAAUAAUAGUCCACUACGCACUGAGCAAUGCAUAAUAAAAACUCAAUUUCUACAAAGGAUUUCUGCAGCAAUACUUUAUAGAAUAAUCUAAUAAUAUUAGAAAAUGAAGGAAGGAAAGAAAGAAUAUUAAAAUUUGUUGGUGUGUUUUCCAAAUGAAAUCUCAUUCCUAUUUAUAGGAAUUUUCAUGUCUUUUCAUAGAGACAUCUUUCAUCAAUAGGUGUCUUUCUGAAUAAUAAUGUCUUUAAAGUAAACACAUAAUUAUUCAUUUAAUAUUAUAACUAUUCAAAUAGUUAUAAUUCUUUAUCAAAAAAUCAAAUAAUAUAAUCUUUUGAUUAAUUACACCCAUUCAUUUAUAGUUAUUAGAACACUAUAAAUAUUUAAAAAUGUUACAACAGAAUUGGGAGGUGAGGAUUAUGCAUACAUACAAGGUAAUAGAGUUGCUAAUACUACAGCCAAUCUGGCAAUUAACAAGCCCAUCGGAUUUCAUGUUUACAACAAUCCACCAGAUGAGAUAUUGCAGGUUCUUCAGGAUGAUGUGGAAGGUAAGGCUAUUCCAAGCUUUAUUGUGAUGCAGUUAAUUUCAUUUUGAUCUCUUAACUUUUCAAGAUUUUAGUCAUUGUAAUGCCUCAAAUUUAAGGUUUAAAUCCAUUAGUUUAUAGGGUCAUUCUUAAAAGUUCACAUUUCUAAAGAAAUAAUAACAUCAAAUUUACAACCCAAACUUGUGCAUUCAUAUUGUACUUGUAUAUUUGAUAGUAUUUUUUCCUUUUUCGUGUUGAGUAAUCCAACUUUAUCUAAUAUUACCUGGUCUAAACCCAUGUGCAUGCCCUCACAAAAUGCCAAACUUCAACGCAUUAUUGAAUCACCAGAUAAGAUGCAAAGGAAAAGACACUUUUUGAAUGGUGGAAAAUUUGAGUUCCUCAAAGAGAACAUAGCAUAUCUUUCUCCAUUUCAUUAUAUUUAUGCAGGCAUGUUGUUGGAACAUGAGAAACCAAAGCUUUAUAAUGUUCUAACGAAUAAAUAGUUCGGUUUUGCAGUUUUCGUGAAAUGAUGCAGCCGGUCGCAGCAAUAGUUCGUUCUUCAGAAUACAUUCCUAUUCCCCCCAACUCAAUAUGCUGUUAGAAAAGAGCUGAGAGUUGUUCUACAAUGACGAAACCUAGCUGUUUUCGAGAUUGUAAAAGAAGGUAGCUACAGAAAACUUGGAAAAUCUUGUGCCGUUUUGCUUUAGCACGAAGAUACGAGAAGUACUCUAGUAAGAAACUCAGUUUCCUAUUCCGUAUUUCAUGUUAUUUUGUAUUACUAUGUUCUGUACUUUAAGAGAAUUGCUCUUGGGAGUCAUUCUAUAGAUGUAAUGCAUCAAUUUGAUCUAAUAAUGAGUCAUUAACAUUAUGUUCUUGCUAAAUAACAUGAACACGAACAUGAACAGCAGUACAAGCAACCGGCCUCUUAUUCGGAACCUUUUUGUGAAUUCAUUUUAGGAGCAGAAAGAAAACAUUGGAGGCAAUCCAUCUAGGAUAUGCGAUCGGAAUUACUGAGUGCCAAGGUGUAUGAUCUCUUUCUGAGCACCCUCGAUGAACUUCGGAUUCAGUAGGGAACACAGAUCCUGUGUGUAUUAGGACCAGCUACCAUAUCAUGCCAAAGCAGAUCGGAGAGUGCCAUUGUCAACUCUCCCACUUUUCCUAUAAGGGAAAAUAAGCAGACUUUGGUAAGAACAUAUGCACUAAUCCGUCGUUGUUAAGCCAAAAAUCAGGAGGCGGACUAAUCAAGCAAGGCAAUAUUGUUACAUAUGCAAGGAAUAGAUGCACUCAAACGAUAAGUCAUGUUCGAUUCUACUAGAAAAAUAAUGUCUAAAGCAUGUUUGGAUGUAUUUUAAGGCUUUCGAAACAUUAGAUUGUACAUACCAUCUCCGAUGGGAUGUUCGUCCCACAUGAUGAUUGGCAAUAUCGGUAGCGUACUUCCUAUAUACAUAAUUUCUGCUGCACCUUUGGCUUCCAUGACGGUAAGAUUGGCAGUUUUGACACUUUUAAGACGCCCUUGCUUGACCAACUUAGGUGCUAAUUCAAGAAGCCUUUUUGCAGUACAUCCGCUUAGGAUCCUAUCGAAUGAAGGAAAAAUAAGUUCCUUAUCAUUGGUUAUAAAUGCGACAUUCACAUUAGGGCCCUCCGCAAUAAAACCAUCAUCGUCAACCCAAAUCGAAGCAUAUGCACCCUUGUCUUCAGCUUCCAUUAUUGAAAGAACAUUCGGCAAGUAAUUUACAUUCUUCAUUGUAGCAAACUGAGGUGCUUUCAUAGGGAUAGUCGAAGUUAUCACUUUAACCCCGUUUUUGCAUUGCGAGACAACGUCGGCAAUGACUACAGCGUAGAAUGCAGAAGUAGGGCAUUUGGCAGGAGAAAGCAAGAAAUUACCAGGACCGGCACUCAACCAGUACCGUAGAGUUCCUUCCUUGCACUGUGAUGCGGCGGUUAAUUGCACAAGAAUACUACGAAGAGUUGAUCGAGGAAAUGGAAGGGUGAUUCUUGCUUUCGAUGCCGACCGAAGGAAGCGAUCUAAAUGAGCAUCCAGCUCAUAGAGGUAACUACAAAAAUAGGAUAGGUUAUAUUAAGCUUUAUAAACAUAUAUUAACUAAUGCCUCAAAGAGAUAUCAUGAACUCGUGGGUUCAUCUAACAGGUUGGGGAUUCGAAUCUCGACACCUAUAACACCUCUCUCGAUCCCAAACUAUCGGUCUCCUUUGUACCGAAAAUAGGGAAACCAGGGACCUACCCAUCUAGAAUGACUGCUGUAUCGAAUACACCGUGGCCUCGAUGAACCAUGUGAUCAUCUAUGGGAAUUACCAUCAUGGCAGGGUCAAGAAUGAUCCCUCCGAAAACGCUGGAAUACAUAGCCGGAUAUGGUUUCUUCUUCACCGGACUCCACUUCUCGUGCAGCUUUUCGAUCAACUGAUAGACACACACACAAAAUAUCAGGAAAUACCAAUGACACAAGACUGGUCUAUUUCAUGAAACUUAACCCUCUACUUUUCGGAUUUUUUUGGAUUUAAAGUUGCAAGUCUAAUGGUUCGUGUUGCUUAAAUUCUUCUAUUAAAUUUAAGUUCAUUACAACAUUUUUUUGUUACACGGUUACGAAGUAUUUGUUUAUUUUAAAAUGCCAUAGAAAUGAACUUAACAAAAGAAUUUAGUAACAUUAACACUUGGACUUAAAUUUCGAGAGACUAAAUUUUCAAAUGUACGAGAACUACAUACAUUUGAAGCAUAUUUUAACCUUAAAAUUAUAUGUAAUUGAACAGGACAAGUUUUAAUUAUUUCUAGAAAAUUAGCAGUUAAAUUUAAUUUUUUUUUUAGCUUUGACCAAAUGGAAAAUUAUAUUUUUGACUCCUAAAAAAAAUUAAUCAUUCAAUUUAAACCAUAUUAUCACAAAAUUUUACAGCUUUAGCCCCAAUUUUUUUUUGAUUUUAUCUCGACAGAACACAAAAUCCCAUUGAAUAAGGAGCUUAAACCAGAGUUCAUUCAAGACCCCCCCUCCCCCAAAACAACCAAAAUUUUCUCUUCUUUUUUUCUGUUGAACUAAAACAGAUCAAAACAUCAAAUGAAAAAUCAAAAGUUGAGGUCCUGGGUUCUAAGUUUUAAGUUUAACCUCUGAUAAUGAAGAGAAGACAUGAACUUUAACAUCCUUGUCACUUCCAACCUCCAUUGAAGCCAUUUC
rnacentral:lncRNA from 1 species